UAGGGGUUAGACAGUACAGAGACAGGUCAUUAAGGAGCAGGUAGGGGUUAGACAGUACAGAGACAGGUCAUUAAGGAGCAGGUAGGGGUUAGACAGUACAGAGACAGGUCAUUAAGGAGCAGGUAGGGGUUAGACAGUACAGAGACGGGUCAUUAAGGAGCAGGGAGGGGUUAGACAGUACAGAGACAGGUCAUUAAGGAGCAGGUAGGGGUUAGACAGGACAGAGACAGGUCAUUAAGGAGCAGGUAGGGGUUAGACAGUACAGAGACAGGUCAUUAAGGAGCAGGUAGGGAUUGGAUUGUUUGCUCAUCGUUUCAGGUACACCCAGAAGUUGCAAGACAUGCUGGGUAUCAAAACAACAGCGAUACGGGGGUACAGGAGACGUCCUGGAACCCACAACCAUCCUCUUCACCCUCGGCGGGUUUUAGAACCAACAGACCCCUCAUCGCCGUGACGACCAGACCUCAGACCCACUUUGAAGAGGAGGAGCCGGGGCCAGUGGGACACUUAGAAUACGACCUCCAGGAAGUAUAGAGGAAACCGGGCAGCGAAUCACAGCGCAGCACGCACAGCCCCGUCGGGAGCGAGAAUGAAAUGGUUUUUAUUUGUCGACUGAACCAGA
ensembl:lncRNA